GACGAACGCUGGCGGCGCGCUUAACACAUGCAAGUCGAACGGAAAGGCCUGCUUUCCCUUGUGGAUUGCGGGUACUCGAGUGGCGAACGGGUGAGUAACACGUGAGUGACCUGCCCCCAACUUGGGUAUAAGCCUGGGAAACUGGGUCUAAUUCCCGAUAGGACUGCAGGGUGGUGCCUGUGGUGGAAAACGAUUUUCUAGUGGUUGGGGAUGAGCUCGCGGCCUAUCAGCUUGUUGGUGGGGUAAUGGCCUACCAAGGCGGCGACGGGUAGCCGGCCUGAGAGGGUGGACGGCCACAUUGGGACUGAGAUACGGCCCAGACUCCUACGGGAGGCAGCAGUGGGGAAUAUUGCACAAUGGGCGGAAGCCUGAUGCAGCGACGCCGCGUGGGGGAUGACGGCCUUCGGGUGGUAAACUCCUUUCGACCGCGAGGAAGCCACCUGGUUGGAAGGGUGGUGACGGUAGUGGUAGAAGAAGCACCGGCUAACUACGUG
rnacentral:rRNA from 1 species